rnacentral:tRNA from 1 species
GGCGGAGUAGCCAAGUGGCUAAGGCAACGGUUUGCAAAACCGUCAUUCGUGGGUUCGAUUCCCACCUCCGCCUCCA